CUGUGGUUUCCCCUCAGGUGCGUUAGGAAGGAAGAGGGGAUAUCCGGAGCCCAAGUGAUUGCGUGAACGACAGGGAAAGAAGCUGUCUCCAUGAUGUAAAAGUACAAGGUGGGGCAGCAAGUGCUGAUGGAGAAGCUGCAGCAAGCUCUCCAGAAGAUCCAGCUAAGGGCUUGAAAGAAGUUGAUUCCAACUGUCAUGGAUGACUUUGAGGUGACAGGUCCAGUGGAGGAAGUAACUGCAAAUGUGUUGAAAGUAUCAUAAUAGCAAGAGAAUUAGAGUUAAACGUGGGCCUGAAGAUGUGACUGAAUUGCUGCCAUCUCAGGAUAAAACUUGAACAGAUGAAGAAUUGAUUCUUAUGGACAAAGAAAGUUUUUUUUUAAUUUUCUUGUUUAUUUAUUUAUUUAGGCAGAGAUGGGGGUCUCACCAUGUUGCACAGGCUGGUCUUGAACUCCUGGACUCAAGUGAUUCUCCUGCCUUGGCCUCCCAAAUUGCUGGGAUUACAGGCGUGAGCCACCGUGCCUGGCUGAAAGUGGUUUCUUGAGAUAGAAUCUACUCUUGGUGAAGAUGCUACGGACAUUGUUGAAAUGACAACAAGGGAUUAGAAUAUUGCACAGGACCCAGUGCAGUAGCUCAGGCCUGUAAUCCCAACACUUUGGGAGGCUGAAGUGGGAGGAUCGCUUGAGACCAGGAAUUUGAGACCUGCCUGGACAACAUGGUGAGACCUCAUCUCUCCAAAAAAACGUUGGCUAGGCACCGUGGCACUUGCUUUAGGUCCUGGCUACCCGGGAGGCUAAGGUGGGAGGAUCACUUGAACCCAGGAUAUCGAGGCUGCAGUGAGCCAUUAUUGUGCCACUGCACUCCAGCCUAAGUGACAGAACAAGACCCUGUCUCUUAAAAAAAAAAAAAAAAAAGAAUAUGACAUAAACUUAGUUGGUAAAGCAGCAGCAGUGUUUGAGAGGGUUGACUUCAAUUUUGAAAGAAGUUCUACUAUGAAUAAAAUGCUAUCAAACAGUG